rnacentral:rRNA from 1 species
AACUUUCAACAACGGAUCUCUUGGUUCCGGCAUCGAUGAAGAACGCAGCGAAAUGCGAUAAGUAAUGUGAAUUGCAGAAUUCCGUGAAUCAUCGAAUCUUUGAACGCACAUUGCGCCCUCUGGUAUUCCGGGGGGCAUGCCUGUCCGAGCGUCAUUU